GGCCAGGCCAUGCCUGUAUGGACGGCUGAAAGCUCACCUCAGCCCCACAACCAUAGCAGCACCGAGCCUAAACAAUAAAGGAACUGAACAAAAGCACCAACUCUAGGGUUGAAUGACUUGAGAGUUAGUGUUUGCCAAACUAUCCCAAAUCGAAUGGUUCGGAAUGUAUCGAACCAUUCCAAUGGUUAACCGGUAUUCUUCAUAUGUUCGAUUCAGAAUACUGGCAAAAACAGCGUAAGAG
rnacentral:lncRNA from 1 species